UACGAAGGGUGCGAGCGUUAUUCGGAAUCACUGGGCGUAAAGGGUGCGUAGACGGUAUGUUAAGUUUGUUGUUAAAGACUCCGGCCUAACCGGAGGGUUGCGAUGAAAACUGGCAAACUAGAGGGUGAGAGAGAGAAGUGGAAUUCCCGGAGUAGCGGUAAAAUGCGUGGAUCUCGGGAGGAACACCAAUGGCGAAGGCAGCUUCUUGGCUCAUUCCUGACGUUGAGGCACGAAAGCGUGGGGAGCAAACAGG
rnacentral:rRNA from 1 species